rnacentral:ncRNA from 1 species
GUUAAAGCUGUGAUGGGAAGUAAGUAAAGAAACUGGUGGUAGAGAGUCUUUGGUGGGUGAAAAAAGAUACGAGUCUUUGCGUCGUCGUCCCGGAGUUAUUUUUCUGAACUCAAGUAAGAAAAAUCGGUGCAAUCCGUUAUCGAAGACAAGAAGUAAAUAAGGUGGUACCACGUUUGUUUGAACGUCCUUUGU